rnacentral:misc_RNA from 1 species
UACGGAGGUAGCAAGCGUUAUCCGGAAUUAUUGGGCGUAGCGCGCGCGUAGGCGGUCUGUUAAGUCUGAUGUGAAAGCACCCGGCUCAACCGGGGAGGGUCAUUGGAAACUGGCAGACUUGAGUGAAGAAGAGGGGAGUGGAAUUCCAUGUGUAGCGGUGAAAUGCGCAGAGAUAUGGGGGAACACCAGUGGCGAAGGCGGCUCUCUGGUCUGCAACUGACGCUGAGGUGCGAAAGCGUGGGGAUCAAACAGG